UCUUUCACUCCCCUCCAUGCCACCAUUUUUAUCCUCUCCCCUAUCCCUCUCUCUCUCUCUCUCUCUGCAUGCCCCCCCCACACCUCUCCUCUUCUCCCCUCUCUCCCAGAUGCCCCUAAGAACACGUCUGUGUUUGCGCAGCCCUCCAGUGUGAUCGACGCGGGCCGUCCUCUGACUCUGACCUGCAGCAGCCAGGCCAACCCGGCGGUGGACAACUACACGUGGUUCAGGAUCAAUGCGGCUGACGCCUGGGUAACGCGAUCGGGCCCAAGCUACACCUUCGCUGAGGUCAGCCCCGGGGAGAGCGGCCAGUACUACUGCGAGGCACGCAACCGUAUCGGCGUCCACAGCUCGCCUGUCCUCACUGUCAGGGUCAGAGGCAGACUGAAGGUUAUCGCCCUGGCCUCAGCUGUGGGCGUGUCUGCUGGUCUCAUCACUCUCACUGUGGCCGUCAUGAUCAGGUGACGCACUACACCUUUCAACACUAUGAUGGUCUAUGGAAGGCAGGGGACCUCAGGAACAUUGGCCCGAAUCAGUGUUACUAGACACUUCAUUUGAUUGUGGAAAUCAAUAUGUUGUAUCUAUCUGCCUUCUUCACAGCAAAAACAUGCACAGAGUAGACAUGGAAUAUCCAGAGGAAAACAAGAAGAGGCCAUCGGUGACAGCUGACACCCUGUUCUACGAGUCAGUCCAGCAGACCCUUCAGUUGAGGACUGGCAAGAUGUCUGACAUCCCGGAGGAGCCAGAGGAGGUGUAUGAGAGGGCCCAUCCCUCCAUCGUACCCCUGAAGGAUGCUCCACCCUGCACAGAGGCAGACAGCAUCCUCAACUAUAUCACUGUGCAUUACUCCAGGAUCCCAAGUCUGGACCAGAUUCAAGUUACAAAUGUACCACUGGAUGGCGAUAAAGAGCCAAAGGAUGCUGCCAAUGUUGUUUACACUGUCCUGGCCAGACCACACCAGUAGUAGUGCAGAUGAGAACUGUAGCUCCAAAUGAGUGACAUCGCCAGAAGGAUCUCUACCAUCGACCCCUGAACUGCUUCUGAGCUGGACUGCUCACUCUAAGCCAAUUUACUGUUUAUCUAAUUUACUACAAAGUCUAAUUUACUAGGAAUAGUUAAAGUAGUUACUUGUAAUUCAUUUGGCAUUAUAAGUGGCAUUAUAACUCAUUUAUUAGCAUUUAACGUUUUACUAGUAGUGGCCAGAUAAUGAAAUAUUCCGAUAUCAGAAUCAUCCUUAAAAUGUAUCUUUUUCACCCUCAGAAGGAAGUCAUUUUGGACAUUUUCUCUCUGGGUUCUCUCUAUCUCCUCCAUAAGAUAUCAUUAAAAUGUAACAUACUUUAAAAAUGAAGUUUGGUAUGCAUCAUCACUCAUGCUAGUCUUAUGGAGAAUGUGUGUAAAUGUGUUACUGAUCAUAUCUUAUGUUUAGGGUAUGGUUGGUAUGUCCCAAAUUGCUUGUUGAAAUAGAUUUUUGUCAAAUAAACAUUUUUAAAUGAAGAAAUAAUUGCUAGAUGUAUUAAAGACAUGUAUCAGGUAGACACUUAC
rnacentral:lncRNA from 1 species